UUCCUAGCUCAGCUGGUAGAGCAAAAGACUUUUAAUCUCAGGGUCGUGGGUUUGAAACCCAAGUUGGGCAAAA